rnacentral:rRNA from 1 species
UACGAAGGACCCAAGCGUUAUCCGGAUUUAUUGGGUUUAAAGGGUGCGUAGGCGGGUUAUUAAGUCAGUGGUGAAAGCCUGCAGCUUAACUGCAGAAUUGCCAUUGAUACUGAUGAUCUUGAGUAUGAUUGAGGUGGGCGGAAUGUGUCAUGUAGCGGUGAAAUGCUUAGAUAUGACACAGAACACCGAUUGCGAAGGCAGCUCACUAAGCCAUAACUGACGCUGAUGCACGAAAAGCGUGGGGGAGCAAACAGG